UGAUGCCCCUCGCCCACCCCUGAAGAUCCCAGGUGGGCGAGGAAAUGACCAGCGGGAUC
rfam:Salmo salar isolate Sally breed double haploid chromosome ssa23, whole genome shotgun sequence.